CUUGUUUUGUACUUUGUACUGAAAAGUUGUUUUCAUCAUGUUAGAAAAAGAGUCAAAUAUCAAAUGUGUUUAGUUUCAAAAUCAAAUUCGCUUUUUUCCUGGAACUGAAAUAUGAGGUGCAGAGAAAUGUGAGGGAAUAUUCAGUGCGCGUGGAAUAGCACCGUUUAUGUAUUUCUUUACAUAUUUAUAUUGUGCUUUUAAAAGCACAAACACUGGAUGCAAGAGAGCAUUUUAGGAUAUUUUAGAAAGUUCAAAAAUCCCACACUUCUUUUUCAGUCAGUUCCGAUCUGCAGUUUGAUCAAUUAAAUUAAUGCCUAAAAAAAUCAAGGCAAUAAACUGCGUGGAAAAUCAGGGCCAAAUGACGAUCAGCCAGCGGCGACUCUUGAUCUACUGACCUCGCGCUGCCUUCAGCCCUCGCGGUCGAUCAAAGGUGCACUUGGGACUUGCUGACGCCCCCUCGGGGGACACGGCGGGGGUCCGCAGCGCGUCCCGUCAGUCCCGCUUGUCGCCCAGAGCCGAGCCGAGCCGAGCCGAGACGAGAGGAAGAUCACGAUCAUCAUGUCGCAUCAUCAUCAUCAUGUGCUGCUGGUGCUGCUGUUCGCCUGCGGAGCUCAGCUGAUCGCCAUCCAGGCGCAGCAGAGUUACGACACUCGCCCCCCCCUCUUUAAGGACAUCAUAAAUCAUGCGAUUAGACACGCGAACGAAAAGGCGAGAUUCCACUUGAAUUUUUUCGGUGUCCUGAAAUCUGAGGCUGCUGAGGAAGAGCGGAAAGAGAAAUGUAACAUUACAGAAAUGUUUGGAAGUAAACAUCUGUUGAGUCUUAAAACCACAGAAGAAGAUGCCUUUGAAUGUCUUGGCUGCUUCUGAGAGGAAAAAGGCAUUUCAUCAUAAUAUCCAGACAUAGAACUUGGGGGGGAAAAAAAAAACAGGAGUCUGCUUACAGCACAAUAUAACUUAAUGACUCAUAGUGGAAUUAAAUAAAUCAAUGCAGCUAGGUGUUGCA
rnacentral:lncRNA from 1 species